rnacentral:rRNA from 1 species
GACGAACGCUGGCGGCGUGCUUAACACAUGCAAGUCGAACGGAAAGGCCCUGCUUGCAGGGUACUCGAGUGGCGAACGGGUGAGUAACACGUGGGUGAUCUGCCCUGCACUUCGGGAUAAGCCUGGGAAACUGGGUCUAAUACCGGAUAGGAGCCCUUUUUAGUGUGAUGGUUGGAAAGUUUUUUCGGUGUUGGAUGAGCUCGCGGCCUAUCUGCUUGUUGGUGGGGUAAUGGCCUACCAAGGCGGCGACGGGUAGCCGGCCUGAGAGGGUGGACGGCCACAAUGGGACUGAGAUACGGCCCAGACACCUACGGGAGGCAGCAGUGGGGAAUAUUGCACAAUGGGCGCAAGCCUGAUGCAGCGACGCCGCGUGGGGGAUGACGGCCUUCGGGUUGUAAACUCCUUUCGCUAGGGACGAAGCUUUUUGUGACGGUACCUAGAUAAGAAGCACCGGCUAACUACGUG